GAGAGCCGGAGCAACCUCAACGCUCAAUGUAGUGUUCUUGGUCAAGAGCUCAGAGCAUGCUCAGAAUCGAUGCAGCUCAGGAAAUUCUGCCAGGUAGAUUAAGAAAAACCCACCCAAGUAAACACAACCGAACGGCGAGUGCUGUGCUGACUGAUGGAAAGCUGCGGGACAGACGGAUGAAAGCCAGAGUCCUGCCUGCUCCCCGGUCGCGGCAUCGGGAGCUUUGCCACGGAGGCUGGCGCAGUGCCGAAGGUGGGGGGAGCCCGAUGGGGCUCUGAAUCGUCCGGCGUCACUCUGCCGUCUGUGGCACAGCCAAAAUCCUGCAAGCCCCCAAAACUCCCUGCACGUAAAGUGGGAACCAGAAGAUGCUGGUGGGGAGAUGACUCUCCCAAGCGGUUCUAAGGGAAGCAGCUGCCCUCUAGAGGGAGCGGGGCCUGGGUUAAUUGAGAUUUCUUAUGAAAAUGCAGAAAACGGGCUUCCUCCUAGGGACAGGGAUAGCCCAGGCAACCGCUUCGCGUUGUUGGGAAAUGCAGGGCUGUGACGGGCAGUGCGUCCUCUCUCCCCCUUCUCUACUGCCCGCCUCGCAGCGAGAGGGCCUGCACAGCAAGCUCACAGCCUCCUCGUUUGCAAGAACUCUUCUAAAUCUGGGAAUCAAAAAAUGCAUCUUAAAGAUGUAAUUAAUAAUAGCAACGCUCUGUUCACUAGGUAUUGUGAAUUGUGUCUGACUGUACUGAAGGAUUUCUUUCCAGUGUAUGUACGCUAUGGUUUUGUCUAGUUUUCCAUUAUUCAGCCCAUGCGGGCUUUUACCACUUCCCUCGGGAGUCUCCACCGAAGCCUAAUAGUCCGCAUUGUUAGAAAACGUUUCCUGAUAUUCAGCUGCUUCUUCCUUCUAUUCAUGCACAGCAGAAUUGCAAGCUCUUGCCCGGUUGCGCCUUCAAUUGUUUUAGGUGCUCCAGGGCUCCUUUCAAACUCUGAUUUUUUGCCAUCGGAACACAGAUUCUAUUCACCGGCUUCUCGCGUCCUUUGGGUUUGUUUUGUCGAAACUUAAUAUCCCUCCGCUGCGCAGCUCCGAGAUGCUGUCCCUGCUGCUGUGUGGGGAAGCCAGCCAGCGCUGGCCUGCAUCGUCCGUUGUUCCCUGCUUGCUUCGUUAACGGCGCUGCAAUGGCUUUUCCUGGCAUCGCAGCUCUUCACCCUUCCCAAUUCAUUUGGUGAAACUCAGGUUUCCUCCAGUAAAACGCCAGCGCUUGCCGAUGCCGUGUUACGGUCUGACUGCAGCCGCCCCCCAGCCUCAGCCCAGGGAGGCUGUGCUGUAUGAAAGAGGGGCAUGGGUCCUCCUGCUGACACCGACAGCCGCCGCAGGUCCAGUCACACCAGUCAAACAGUGCUAGCCCUGCUAAAAAAAACCAGGCUACAUCAUACCUGGAAUAGGAGCCAUUGGUUGGCUAUCACUGGAAUUCAAUUAGAGAGUAAACCAACUCUAUUUCAGCCGCUCUUCGUUGAAAUCUGCUCCGCUGCCUGCAACGGGAAGAGCAAGGCAGGUGUCUCAGCUUCCCCUUGGACACGUUCAAACAUCCUCCACCGCGACAGGAGCAACGUCGCUGCGUUCUGAAAUCGGGCUCCUCAUCAGCCGGUGCUGGCGGCGGCUCACGCAGGCAGCCCGGCAGCUUUGCUGGAAAACACCUGCUCCGCUUUCCAGGGGAUAAGAUUUCGGCAUAACUGGUGCCUCUUGUCAAAACAAUGGUGUACAUUACCGCGUGUUUAUUAAAGCGGGGACUCUGAAGCAUGCAGAACUGAAAAGCAGUUCCUUUGAACUGGGUAAAAAGAAUCAACGAACCCAAAUCCCACACCAAAUUAGGAGAGAGUGAGUUUCUGAACUCAUUCUGGAGGAGAGAAUAAUCAGGUAGUUCUUGCCUGAAGUAACUCCUGGAUGCAGUUUCUGAAGGGAGACAUCAUGGGCUAGAUUUGGUCAUGAAAAAUUGGAAAUUGCUCCACGGUAUGGGGAAAAUUACUAAUGAGCAGGGAGUCUGCACAAUGAAUCCCUUUUUCAUUGACAUGAAAAAUUAAAGACUGAAACGACUGAGACACACUUGGAAGAGCCUGACUAAAUUACUGCAAAACAUGGAAAGCAAAGGGAGAGGCGUGCCUGGAGACACGGAGAGGACACUGUCCAAAAGACUGACAUUCUCGUAGCUUAUUGAUGAUGCUACACAGCAAAGAAAAGCAAAGGUUUAGGAAAAACCGCAUGGUUUGGAGGGAUAUUCAGGUUCAGGCACUUGGUGCCACCGGAGGUUUCCAUUUGCCUGACCUAGCAAACAGCACGAACUUUUGGGUUACUUUUUACACAAUGAAAUACACUUCAGCAGCUCAGAAUCUAACGCCUUUGCUUGGAGUUAAGCGCACUUAAUAGAGGCAGACCCUCAGGACUCGGGAGAAUGCAAAUAGUUGCUAGCGUAGGGGUCUGAAAACCAGAGAAGCAAAUCACAGGUUAGUCAGUUGAUCCAGUCCUUACCCCAAUGGACCGUGGUCGUGUUUGAGCUCUCACACCCAGAGCAGCCGGGAAUUUCUGGACACCCGGUCACCCCGCUGGCACGAGCAGCGCUUUCCCCUGCCCCCAAAAAGCUUUGAUUUGAUUCAACAUUUGGAGAAGAAAUAUGCUGUCAUUUGUUAGCAAAAAGUCCUGUUGGAUUGGAAAGUAAUGGAACUUUAAGUGCUGGAUAAUUAACAAACCAGGGUUUCCAAAUGGAGUGUUCUUAAAAUUGCGAGGAUACUGAUUCAAAUAGGCACUUGCUUUUUUUUUUUUUUUUUUUUCCUUUGGUCAUCUCUCUGCAGCAUUUAAAAUGAUUUACAAAAGGUCCUUCUAAAUGCAUAUUUAAAGAAAACCAAACAGGAUGAGGCUUCACAUUUCCAUUUGAUCCCAAAGUGAUCUUUUAAGGUUUUGUUAUAAAACUCUUCAAAAAGGAUUUCAAAUGGAAGCACUGACAAACCAUUAAGCAUUAGUAAACACUGCAGCAUUAGUGAGCUCCUGAAGGGUUCUGCUACAUCUGCUCAGGAAUUUUCUUUAAAAUUUUUUCCAGCACAGACUGUGCUUUCUGUAAAGGAACAUUUUUUAAUUUUUUUUCCUCCCCCCAGAAAAAUGUCAGUAUUACUGAUUUUUUUUCCUUCAGCUUUCCUGGGGAACAUCAAAAUGAAACCCUCCAUUCUAACAGAAGUGAACCUGUUGGUUUCAUCAUCCAAAUGUUUCCUUUGGGGUCAGCACCCAAACAUUAACCUUAUUCCACCGGAGCUGCUGUACACGGGAGCUGUAGUCCCACGGCUGGUGCUUUAAAAGCACGAGACCUUAGGAAGCUGCGUGCCUCAUAGGAUGAGCAAAUGAUACAGGACAUCAUAAGGAUGGAUUGCAGACAGCCAAAAUUCCUAAAUACAACCGAAUUUAUGGCAACGUGGGGUUACCCACUUCCCCAAGCAGGGUCCCUCAACCACUCUGGUGCCAUGAAGCAGCUCCUGGAUGGUCCGCUCGGACCGCUGCAGCUUGUCCACAGACUCCUCUGCACGGGAGGGAGCGCUCCGGGGGCCUCAGAACAUCUGAUAUGCGCUGCACUACCAGGAUGAACUCAGGCCAUGCAAUAUUUAGCUACCGAAUGGUAAAUUAAGUCUGCUGCGGUAGGAAAGCAAAGGAAGGAAACAAGCCUUGGCAAUGAAUAGAGGAGGAAAGGGGAAAGCGAAUGUCUUUAUCACAUAUAGUCUAGUGGCUUUUAAAAUGCAAUUUUGAUUUGGUUUCUGCUCUUUGGCUCCUUUUGAGUGCUCCUAAGUGCCCUGAAGUAGGAAUCUUGGCACAAUAAAACAUCAAUUGACUGAAAAUAGUCAGUACGUUCGACAGCAGAAGAAUUAAGCGAUUCGGAAAUGCAAUAUGCUAGUCCUCUGGGCAAAAUCUUUCUUAAAAUUCAGAUAUUCCUGCCUGGCUGAAAUCAAUGGGAAUUUCAUAUGCCAGCCCAAAAGCCACCAGGCCACUGACACAACAGAAGUAUCACAUCGGUAGGGUUUCUGUGCACAAGCAGAAAAUCUGAGUACUGUAAACAGGGGGUAAAACUUCUGCUUAAACAUGUUAUGCCUUCUCAGCAGCCAUGGUUUCCAAUAAGAUAACAGUCCGGUUUCCCUUGUUUUCCAAAAUAACUAGAGAUUAUUGAUGUACUGCCAAUGUUUUAACAAGGGGAGCUCACUAAAUCCCACCCUGUCCCAAGUCUAAGAUGAACACCAUGGGAUCAGGGUGGGGACAGCAAAUGAGUUGUGCAGCGAGGAGAGAUGAAGAGCCGAGGAGUCUAUUCAUUGUUUUUCCAUUUUAAAGCAAACACUUGCCUGUAACUGUAACCAAGAAGAGAGGCAGCCACCUCCUUUUUUUCGUGUUUGGCAAAUAAACCUGUGUU